rnacentral:rRNA from 1 species
AUUCCAGCUCCAAUAGCGUAUAUUUAAGUUGUUGCAGUUAAAAAGCUCGUAGUUGGACCUUGGGACGUCACGGUCGGUCCGCCUUCUUGGUGUGCACUGGCCCUCACGUCCCUUCUGCCGGCGGCGUGCUCCUGGCCUUAAUUGGCUGGGUCGCGGUUCCGGCGCCGUUACUUUGAAAAAAUUAGAGUGCUCAAAGCAAGCCUACGCUCUGAAUACAUUAGCAUGGAAUAACGCGAUAGGAGUCUGGUCCUGUUCCGUUGGCCUUCGGGACCGGAGUAAUGAUUAAUAGGGACUGUCGGGGGCAUUCGUAUUUCAUUGUCAGAGGUGAAAUUCUUGGAUUUAUGGAAGACGAACCACUGCGAAAGCAUUCGCCAAGGAUGUUUUCAUCA